rnacentral:tRNA from 1 species
UGGCUGAAUGGUAAAGCGCUUGGUUUCCGAAGCUGGGGAUCCCGGGUUCGAAUCCUGG